rnacentral:tRNA from 1 species
CGGGAUGUAGCUUAAGACACCAAAGUGUCUGGUAGAGCGCCCCUCCAAAGAGGGGAGGCGAGGUUCGAACCCUCCAUCCCGA